UACUAGAGUAGCACUCGCAUAUCAAUAAGCGGAGGAAAAGAAACUAACAAGGAUUCCCCUAGUAACGGCGAGUGAAGCGGGAAGAGCUCAAAUUUGAAAUCUUAAAGGGUUUCCCUUUACGAAUUGUAGUUUAAAGAAGUGUUUUCUGUUGAGGUUUUGGUGAAAGUUCUUUGGAAUAGGACAUCAUAGAGGGUGAGAAUCCCGUAUUUGACCUUUACUUUCAACUUUGUGAUACACUUUCAAAGAGUCGGAUUGUUUGGGAAUGCAGUCCAAAAUGAGUGGUAAAUUUCAUCUAAAGCUAAAUAUUGGCGAGAGACCGAUAGCGAACAAGUACCGUGAGGGAAAGAUGAAAAGAACUUUGAAAAGAGAGUUAAACAGUACGUGAAAUUGUCAAAAGGGAAGCGUUUGACACCAGUGUUGUUUUUCUGAAAAUCAAUUAAAGAACUGUUUAUGCUAAGUUGUUUAGACUUUAUCAGCUAACUGUUUAGUUUUGAGCUUUUCUUUAAUGCACUUUUCAGUUAACAAGUCAACAUCAAUUUCUUUUGCUGUAAAAAAGCUUGAGGAAGGUGGCUUGAGAUCCGUCUUAAGUGUUUAUAGCCUCUUGCCUAUGCAGUCGGAGAGAUUGAGGUCUGCAGCGUAGAUCCUUCGGGGCUAAAUGCAUUUGUGCUAAGUUAUAACAUUUUAUAGACAACUUGUUGACUAUGAUUUGCCUUGUAGCUUACUCGCUUAUGUUAUUUUACCUACGCUUAGGAUGUUGAUAUCGCGCUCUCACUG
rnacentral:rRNA from 1 species